CGCACCACACGGAUACGUUUUCUACGUUGUUUGUGCUUUGAUUUGAACGAAAACAACGUAUCCAUGUGGUGCGGCUGACAUAGAACAACAUAAGCUGUUUGCGCUCAGUGGAUACUCUCCAAAAUGGCGCUAGGGUGACUGUAUAAAGU